GUGCCGUGUGCAGGCAGUGGGGCAGGUCCCCUGUGCAUGAUGUGGGGGUUACAGUCGGGGCGGGGGCAGGGCCCGGGUCUCCCGUCAGAGCUGAGCUCCGUGCCGUCCCCUUCCCCGCAGACCGGGCGCCGUGCGUGAGCGCAGGGCAGCGACAGCCCCGGCCGCGCGGGGAGGCCUCUCCGGGGAGACGCAGCUGCUGCGCUGGAGCCCGGGGCACCGUGGCCCUGCUGCAGCCGGAGGUCGCAGUGAGUGUGAAGGUUGAGGAGGUGUCCUCACACAAGAUGCCGUCCACUGCGGCACUGCAGGACCCUGGUGAUUCCUGGCUGGAGCAACCCAAGGCCCAUCGUGCAGACAGGCCUGUGGCAGAGUCAGGAGAGAGGGACACCCCAAGGCGUUGGAACAAGCCACCUCCUGUCCCCAGAGAGGAGCCCCUGCCCCCCCCGGACUCAGCAUGUGCAUGAACUUCCCUCAAGCUUUUUCCCAGGGAGCUGUGUCGCUGCUGGCUCUGACAUGGUGUUGUGAUGACCACCCCGGGCUGGUACAGAGUUACUGGGGCUCAUCUCCAGCCUCAUGCCCUUAGCAAGAGCUGUGGGACGUGGAGUCUACCUUCUCCCCCCUCUUCUACACACCGAAGCCUCCGUCUGCCUUAGUGCCAGGCCAGUGCAGGAGACAAGCAGGGCUUUCCCCGUGCCCGCAGCCCCAGCGCUGCCCUGUGCGCUCUUCCCCGCCCGCAGGUGCUGGGACCCCGAGCAGCGCUGAGCAGAAACCUCCUGGAGCAGAGCCUGUGAAGCUGGAGCUGCAGAGGACUUGCCC